GCUUUCCGGGAUUCACGAGGAUGAGAACCUCCGGGGGGCAAGGGGUUCGACUCGAGCGGAGCGAGAGAACGUUGCGUCAGCAACGGCCCGCAGGGCGAGCCACGUAGUGGCGAGUCAUCCUCUAUCACCGACCA
rnacentral:sRNA from 1 species